rnacentral:rRNA from 1 species
AAUAGAUACCCCGGUAGUCCACGCCGUAAACGAUGAGUGCUAAGUGUUAGAGGGUUUCCGCCCUUUAGUGCUGCAGCAAACGCAUUAAGCACUCCGCCUGGGGAGUACGGUCGCAAGACUGAAACUCAAAGGAAUUGACGGGGGCCCGCACAAGCGGUGGAGCAUGUGGUUUAAUUCGAAGCAACGCGAAGAACCUUACCAGGUCUUGACAUCCCGUGACAACUCUAGAGAUAGGGCUUUCCCCUUCGGGGGACACGGUGACAGGUGGUGCAUGGUUGUCGUCAGCUCGUGUCGUGAGAUGUUGGGUUAAGUCCCGCAACGAGCGCAACCCUUGAUCUUAGUUGCCAGCAUUCAGUUGGGCACUCUAAGGUGACUGCCGGUGACAAACCGGAGGAAGGUGGGGAUGACGUCAAAUCAUCAUGCCCCUUAUGAUCUGGGCUACACACGUGCUACAAUGGAUGGUACAAAGGGCAGCGAAACCGUGAGGUUAAGCCAAUCCCAUAAAACCAUUCUCAGUUCGGAUUGCAGGCUGCAAC